rnacentral:lncRNA from 1 species
AAGAAAUGGAAAGAAAAAAAUUGGAGGAAAUGAGUAAAAUAAGAAGACAAAGAGAACUAGAAGUAGAAGAAAGGUCACUAAGAAGAAAAAGAGACGAAUCGAGAGGUCGUGAUAGAUCAUAUAGAAAAUCAUCACGUGACCGUGACCGUGACCGUGACCGUGAACAUAGUAGUGAACACCAUGGAUGGAAAAGAAGCGAAAAAACUGGAGCAUAUCAUGAAGAAGAUAAUUACAAACGUUUAGAUUAUGAUGAUGAUACCCGAGAAGACUAUCAUUCAUCACAUAGGGAAAGGUUAGACAGAAGAGAAAGAGGAAGGGAUCAUUCACCACGAGAAGGAAGAACUGGUUCCAGAGAAAGAAGACAUAGAAGAGAUGGUUCUAAGGAUAGGGAUAGAGAACAUCGAAGAGGAGGUUCUAAGGAUAGGGAUAGAGAACAUAGAAGAGGAGGUUCGAAAGAUAGGGAUAGAGAACAUAGAAGAGAUGUAGAGCAUAGGAAAGAUAAAGACAGAGAGCAUAGAAGAGGAGGUUCUAAGGAUAGGGAUAGAGAGCACAGAAGAGGAGGAUCCAAAGACAGGGAUAGAGAGCACAGAAGAGGAACUUCAAAAGAUAGAGAACACAGAAGAGGAGGUUCUAAGGAUAGGGAUAGAGAGCAUAGAAGAGGAACUUCAAAAGAUAGAGAACACAGAAGAGGAGGUUCCAAAGACAGGGAUAGAGAACAUAGAAGAGGGGGAUCUAAAGACAGGGAUAGAGAACAUAGAAGAGAUGGUGAUCGAGAAAGAGAACGGGAUCGAGAUCGAGAUCGAACUAGUUACGAUAGUAAGCACAGAAAAAAACAUGAAUAUGAUCUAGAAGAUAAAAGUGAAAGAGACAUAAAACGAAGUGAAAGAGCAAGUAAAAAAGAACAAGAAAAAAUAUUAAAUAAUGGUAUUCAUGAUAAAACAAAAAAUAGAUGGAACUUGAAAGAAGUAGAAUACGAUAAUACAGAAGAGGAAGAUGACAAUGACAAUGCUAGUAAUAAUACUAAUACGGAUGAUGACCAUAAUAUAUAUAAGAGUAAAGGGAAAGACAAUUAUGUAAAUAAAGAAAGUGCUUAUGACAAAAAAUAUAAUCAUAUAAAAGAUGAAAACAGUGAAACAAUCAAAAAUAAAAAAGGUGAUAGUUCAAAUAAUGAUGAUGAAGUUGAGAGUUCAAGUGAAGAGAAGUUUACCGUUUAUACCAAAAAAAAGAGAAACUACCAAAAAGGUUAUGUAAAAACGUAAAAGAAUGGAGUGA